CUUAGAUUCCUCGAUAUAUAUAAAUGUGGGACUUACGCAGUUAUGCUUGUCAGUUGGAGAUUGAAUCAAAACUAUAAUGGGGAAUUGCUCUGUGAAAGGGGUCUCUGGAGAAUGUCUUAAUCAUAUCAGGGUAUUUACAGAUUCCGGGGGCAUUANGGGGCAUUAUACAGCUCAAAGGUCCCAAACUAGCUAAAGAUGUCCUUAAGGGGUAUCCGGGCUAUGGCAUUUUUAGGCAGGGAAAUGCUUCGUCUCCACUGUCUAGCUACGAGUACCUUAUUGGUGGGCAAUUUUACUACCUUCUUCCACUUCAGGAGAUGCCAAUGUCUGUAGGGGUUGCAAGGAAGGAAGGUAUGAGGUUUCUUGACGGGUUUGAGUCACCAAAGCUUUCAUCUGGGGCAGAAUUAGUGGAUUUCGGAGAGACCGCAGAGAAUGGACCAGCUGUUCAGGUCCUGCCGUCGCAAGGUCACGGAGUAUGGAAAGUGAAAUUGGUCAUCAAUCCAAAGCAAUUGGAGGAAAUUUUAUCAGAGCAGGGAAAUACUGAAACCUUGAUUGAGAAGAUGAGAAUGGCUGCAAGCUCCGCUACUUUGGAACCCAGACAGAGCAAAAGCUCUAGGGGGUUGGCUUGGAUGCCUUCUCUCUGUAGUGUAUUCAAGGUGUCCCCAAUUGAUGGGGCCAAAUAAAAAGCCUGAUGUUACUUUCUAUGUAAUGUUAGGAUACCAGGGAAUUGUCUCUCAACUAUCAUGUAAAUAUGGCAGAUUAGAGAUGGUGGUAGCAGUGAUGUCUGAUUAAAAAACUGGAGUUUUCUUGGCCGGACUAGGCUAAGCCGGCUAAAAGAGGCCACCAUGAUGGCAAAACAAGUGUCUGUGCAGUUACUGUAGCUUCGCUUGUCCGUGGUCAUGCCAUCUAUUAUCACUUAACCUAAUUAUUGGGUUAAUUGUUGUUUGUUAUGUUUUGGAUGUUAACAUUAUCUUGCACUGUUAGCAAGUGCUGCGUUUGACGUAGGUACUAAUGCAAUUAAGCGCUGAACAGCAUUAUUUUCCAGGA
rnacentral:misc_RNA from 1 species